rnacentral:rRNA from 1 species
UCUUAUAUGGAGAGUUUGAUCCUGGCUCAGGACGAACGCUGGCGGCGUGCCUAAUACAUGCAAGUCGAGCGGACGGAUGGGAGCUUGCUCCCAAACCGUCAGCGGCGGACGGGUGAGUAACACGUGGGCAACCUGCCUGUAAGACUGGGAUAACUCCGGGAAACCGGGGCUAAUACCGGAUAACUCUUUUCCCCACAUGAGGAAAAGCUGAAGGAUGGCAUCUCGCUAUCACUUACAGAUGGGCCCGCGGCGCAUUAGCUAGUUGGUGAGGUAACGGCUCACCAAGGCCACGAUGCGUAGCCGACCUGAGAGGGUGAUCGGCCACACUGGGACUGAGACACGGCCCAGACUCCUACGGGAGGCAGCAGUAGGGAAUCUUCCGCAAUGG